rnacentral:rRNA from 1 species
AGUUAAAAAGCUCGUAGUUGAAGUUUCGUCUCGGACUCUAGGUCUGCUUAAUUGCAUGUACUUGACGGUCCGAGACUUCCUUCUUGGUGAACGGCCGCCUUCGGGUGGUCCGGAACCAGGACUAUUACUUUGAAAAAAUUAGAGUGUUCAAAGCAGGCCAUAGGCCCGACUAUAUUAGCCUGGACUACCAGAAUACGACGUGCGGUUCUAUUUUGUUGGUUUCUAGAACUGCCGUAAUGAUUAAAAGGGACAGCCGGGGGCAUUAGUAUUUGCACGCUAGAGGUGAAAUUCUUGGAUUGUGC